UACGAGUAGUAAUUGACAGUGGAUCC
rnacentral:piRNA from 1 species